rnacentral:rRNA from 1 species
AGAGUUUGAUUCUGGCUCAGGAUGAACGCUAGCGACAGGCUUAACACAUGCAAGCGAGGGGCAGCAUAAAAGUAGCAAUACUUUGGUGGCGACCGGCGCACGGGUGAGUAACGCGUAUGCAACCUACCUAUCGAGAGGGGAAUAACCCGGCGAAAGUCGGACUAAUACCGCAUAAAACAGGGGCACCGCAUGGUGAUAUUUGUUAAAGAAAUUCGCUGAUAGAUGGGCAUGCGUUCCAUUAGGUAGUUGGUGAGGUAACGGCUCACCAAGCCGACGAUGGAUAGGGGAACUGAGAGGUUGGUCCCCCACACUGGUACUGAGACACGGACCAGACUCCUACGGGAGGCAGCAGUGAGGAAUAUUGGUCAAUGGGCGAGAGCCUGAACCAGCCAAGUCGCCGUGAAGGAAGAAGGAUCUAUGGUUCGUAAACUUCUUUUGCAGGGGAAUAAAGUGCAGGACGUGUCCUGUUUUGUAUGUACCCUGAGAAUAAGGAUCGGCUAACUCCGUGCCAGCCGCGGC